rnacentral:rRNA from 1 species
CCUACGGGAGGCAGCAGUGAGGAAUAUUGGUCAAUGGGCGGAAGCCUGAACCAGCCAAGUCGCGUGAGGGAAUACGGCCCUACGGGUCGUAAACCUCUUUUGCCGGGGAGCAAGGGCGGGGACGUGUCCCGGCCCGGAGAGUACCCGGAGAAAAAGCAUCGGCUAACUCCGUGCCGGCAGCCGCGGUAAUACGGAGGAUGCGAGCGUUAUCCGGAUUUCUUGGGUUUAAGGGGUGCGUAGGCGGGCUUUUAAGUCAGCGGUAAAUAUUCGGGGCUCAACCCCGUCCGGCCGUUGAAACUGGGGGCCUUGAGUGGGCGAGAGGAAGGCGGAAUGCGUGGUGUAGCGGUGAAAUGCAUAGAUAUCACGCAGAACCCCGAUUGCGAAGGCAGCCUUCCGGCGCCCUACUGACGCUGAGGCACGAAAGUGCGGGGAUCGAACAGGAUUAGAUACCCUAGUAGUC